rnacentral:lncRNA from 1 species
GGAUGGCUUACCUGAGGCUGUGGACGACGUGUUGAGUUGAUACAGGAAUGAAUGAAUUACUACUGUGGAUGAAACUACUCUAUAAAGGCCCAUAUUUGACAGAGAUGUACAGUCUAUACUGGGUGGAUAUGGAUCACAGUGCAGUAGCAGUACCUCCUCUGGUAGAGUGAAUGACGUGUUGUAACAACACAAAUUGUGGAUGAAACUGUACUCUGUCUAGUCUGGAUAGAAGGGUUGUAGUACAGCAACUCUCUGUCUGUGGAUGAAGGGUUGUAGUAUAGCACCUCCUCGUCUAGUCUGGAUAGAGGGUUGUAGUACAGCACCUCCUCUGUCUAGUCUGGAUGAAGGGUUGUAUAGUACAGCACCUCCUCUGUCUAGUCUGGAUAGAAAGGUUGUAGUACAGCACCACCUCUGUCUAGUCUGGAUAGAAGGGUUGUAG